AGCUGCAUUGCCAGAUC
rnacentral:miRNA from 1 species